rnacentral:rRNA from 1 species
ACGAAACUUUGACAACUCUUAGCGGUGGAUCACUUGGCUCGUGCGUCGAUGAAGAACGCAGCUAGCUGCGAGAAUUAAUGUGAAUUGCAGGACACAUUGAUCAU